AGUGGAUGGGGAGCAACCUAGUUGUGCGUGUGUAAAGGUAGUGCCAAGAAAAGCGAUGAUCAUGUUGAAAAUCAAUUCCCGGUACCCGAAACCGACACAGGUGGGCGAGUAGAGAAUACUAAGGGGCGCGAGGUAACUCUCUCCAAGGAACUCGGCAAAAUGACCCCGUAACUUAGGGAGAAGGGGUGCCACCGAGAGGUGGUCGCAGUGAAGAGGCCCAGGCGACUGUUUAGCAAAAACAUAGGUCUCUGCAAACUCGAAAGAGGAGGUAUAGGGGCUGACGCCUGCCCAGUGCCGGAAGGUUAAAGAAGUUGGUCAGUUUUAGGAUGAAGCUAGCGACUGAAGCCCCGGUGAACGGCGGCCGUAACUAUAACGGUCCUAAGGUAGCGAAAUUCCUUGUCGGGUAAGUUCCGACCCGCACGAAAGGCGUAACGAUCUGGGCGCUGUCUCGGAGAGAGGCUCGGCGAAAUAGGAUUGUCUGUGAAGAUACGGACUACCUGCAUUUGGACAGAAAGACCCUAUGAAGCUUUACUAUAGCUUGGAAUUGUGUUCGGGCUUCCUGUGCGCAGGAUAGGUGGGAGGCGUAGAAGGUAUUCUUGUGGGGAUACUGGAGCCAACGGUGAGAUACCACUCUCAGGAGGCUAGAAUUCUAACUUAAUUAAGGACAGUUUCAGGUGGGUAGUUUGACUGGGGCGGUCGCCUCCAAAAAGGUAACGGAGGCGUACAAAGGUUCCCUCAGACUGGUUGGAAAUCAGUCGAAGAGUGCAAAGGCAGAAGGGAGCUUGACUGCGAGAAGUACAGUUCGAGCAGGGUGGAAACACGGUCUUAGUGAUCCGACGGUGCUGUGUGGAAGGGCCGUCGCUCAACGGAUAAAAGUUACUCUAGGAUAACAGGCUGAUCUCCCCCAAGAGUUCACAUCGACGGGGAGGUUUGGCACCUCGAUGUCGGCUCAUCGCAACCUGGGGCGGAAGUACGUCCCAAGGGUUGGGCUGUUCGCCCAUUAAAGCGGUACGUGAGCUGGGUUCAGAACGUCGUGAGACAGUUCGGUCCAUAUCCGAUGUAGGCGUGAGAAUAUUGAGAGGAGCCUUCCUUAGUACGAGAGGACCGGGAAGGACGCACCGCUGGUGUACCUGUUAUGAUGCCAAUUGUAAACGCAGGGUAGCCAAGUGCGGAGAGGAUAACCGCUGAAAGCAUCUAAGUGGGAAGCCCACCUCAAGAUGAGUAUUCUGGUGUAAGGUCACGGGAAGACGACCCGUAAAUAGGCACGAGGUGGAAGUGCAGAGAUGUAUGAAGCCGAAGUGUACUAAUAGACCGUCGGC
rnacentral:rRNA from 1 species